AUCUAAGCACGAAACUUGCCAAGAGAUGAGUUCUCCCUGUCUUUAAGACAGUAAGGGUUGUUUAAGACGAAGACGUAGAUAGGUCUGGUGUGUAAGUGAUGUGAGUCAUUGAGCUAACAGAUACUAAUUGCCCGAGAGGCUUAACUAUACAACGCUCAAG
rnacentral:rRNA from 1 species